AUGGAUGGAAAGAGAAGAAAAAAUGGCAACCAGACUGAGCCUAGUAGUAAUCAAAAACACGAAAAUGGAACAACUGAUGAUGAUUGUUUCACCAAUGAAGAUUAUCAGUUAAUUCUAAGCCCGGCAGCACGUUUGUUUCAUUCACCAAAAUUCAAUUGUUUUGUUCUUGUAAGAAUAGGCAGCAAAACUAGGAUCAAUCCGGAAGCUAUUAGAGUUGGCUUGAUGGAAAACUUAAGUAACCAUCCUCGCUUCUGUAGCAAACUGGUAUUACUUACACAUUCAUGGUAACGAGUUUCACUAAAUAUUGAAGACCAUCUCAUUGUCCCAGACGUAGAUUGGGAGAUGGAGCAAGCUGAUCACUUUGUUGACCAGUACAUUUCCAACCUUACCACAAGCCCUCUUGACCUUUCCAAGCCACUAUGGGAAGUCCAUAUCAUCAAUGUCAAAACCUUUGAUGCAAAAGCGGUUGCAGUGACUCGGAUUCACCACUCGAUGGGGGAUGGCGCUUCCCUCAUGUCACUUCUACUAGCUUUUACACGAAAAACAUCGGACCCUGAUGCAUUACCUACUCUUCCUGCUACCAAGAGGAAACUGGGGGAUAGUUUCUCAAGCGAUGGAGACACUAAGACUCCUAUGAAAGGUCCACAUGGGAUGGAGUUUACUACCAUGCGCUUCUUGCGCCGAACGGUUAGUUUGGAUCACAUCAAGCAAGUGAAGAACGCUUUGAACAUGACUGUCAAUGAUGUCAUAUUGGGAGUGACACAAGUAGGUUUCUCACGGUAUUUGAACAACAGAUACGGUGAAAAUCGAAAGGAUGAGGGAGCAAAACAGAAGGGGCACAAUAAUCUUCCGAAAGGCAUCCGCCUUAGAGCAUACAUUCUUGUGAAUUUACGACCAGCUAUUGGGAUCCAGGAUAUGGCAGAUAUGAUGGCUAAGACCAAGUGUGGUAAUAAAAUUGGAGAUGUCCUUCUCCCCUUCACCAUUGCUCUACAAGAUGACCCUUUGGACUAUGUUCGUGGAGCUAAGUCGCUUAUGGAUCGAAAAAAACAUUCACUUGAAGCUUUUUGCACAUACUUAUGUACCAAUCUUGUGAUCAAUCUAAUUGGAGCUAAGCUGGAGCAGUGGCACACAAAAUUCUUUCUAAUUCCACACUAUCAUUCUCUAGCAGUGCAUUUGCAUUUUCAAAGCUAUGCUAACAAAAUGACUACUUGCUUAUCGGUCGACCCAGAUGUAUAUCCUGAUCCUGAAAAGUUGUUGGAUGAUUUAGAGGAUUCACUCAAACUCAUCCACGAUGCGGUUGUUGACAAGGGGCUCUCCAUUUGUUGCUAUACAAUAAAUGUAUAUUAA